CCCUUCGUGGUGCGGUGGUCAGCACGCUCGACGCGUAACCGAGAGGUCCGUGGUUCAAUUCCUGGCGAAGGUG
rfam:Stegodyphus mimosarum contig107359, whole genome shotgun sequence.